rnacentral:lncRNA from 1 species
GUGAUCCUAUGUCACCUUAUUUGUUUGUUCUGGCUAUGGAGUACCUGGAUAGGAUAUUGGGUCAGUUGCACAGAAAUGGGGACUUCAACUUUCAUCCCAAAUGCAGGAAACUAAACUGUGCUCAUGUCUGUUUUGCUGAUGAUCUUCUUAUGUUCUGUCGAGCUGAUAUUAUUUCUAUCGAGAUCCUACAGGAGGCUUUCCUAAAGUUCUCUGAAGCUUCUGGAUUGCAAGCUAACAUU